AGGCGCGGCGAGGCGGGUGGCGCGCGGCAGCAGGGUUGGGCUCUCGCCGUGAGUCGACGAAGGGAGCGCGGGCGCGCGCCCGCGUCCGCGCACUGAGAGUCGCCUCGGCCGCUCGCUUUCUCGACUCCCGCCUCGCGCCUCGAUCCUGUUCCGCCUCCCUCGGCCCUCCUGCCCGCCCCCACUCGUCGGCCCUCAGGUACCUAAAAUGUCUCAUUAUUCAUCAAUUAAUGAAAAACAAAUGAAAAUUUGAGAGAGAUAUUCUGAAGAAUAAAAGGAUCAAGUUGGGUCAUUUCUAAAAUCUCAGAGACCUAAUAGGAUGGGGUCUUAGAGAAACAUCUUUUGAGCCACAGACUUCUUUGUUACCAGAAGGAAAAUGAAAGAAGAAAUUUAAAUACCACUUGAAGAGAGGUGCUGCCCAGUUCAUGAGUGCUGCUGCUGUCCUGCCCAAGUACCCAGCUUGCAGAGUGCCAGAGUUAGAGUCCCAGGGGUGUUCUCCACAGCUGCAUGCUUGAUCCAGGCCUAUCAGGUGUUAUUUGUUGACGGAACCAGGCAUCAUCAGCAAACAAAACUGACAAAGCUUCCUGCCCUCUGUGGAAGGCAUCUGAGGAAGAGACUGGAUUUUGUAGCAACAUGUUAUUCUCAUUAUAAACUUUAUCAUUGGAAUACUAAAGCCAAAUCAUCCCCCAUCUCCUUGAUCAGGAUACCCACUUAAUCUAGGCAGCUACACAAUUGUGAGAGCCUUUGUUUUUUUCUGCUGAAACAUCCUUAAAAAGAUACCUCACAACCCAAGAUUUGGCUUUUCUUAAAUACGAUUUUUAAUUUUUUUCAUUUCUAUCUAGAGAUUUAAUUGGAAAUGGAAAAUCAUCAAUUUUCCAAUUAAAUGUCUGUUCCAAUCAACAUUAUACCUUUUAGGUUGUCAUUGUCAUUUUUAAGUUUAAGCAACUUUAAGGAUUUUGAAUCUGGCUGCCUGUAAAUUAAAGGUGAAAGUAAUCAUUGUGUUGGAUUGGAACAUUUUGUCAAUUGAGAGUGGUUUCCUUGUUCUUAGUGUAUGAAAAGUUUAUUUUUCUAAUGUAGAUUAAUAAAGGAGAUAAAGAAAAACAAAA
rnacentral:lncRNA from 1 species